rnacentral:rRNA from 1 species
GACGAACGCUGGCGGCGUGCUUAACACAUGCAAGUCGAACGGAAAGGCCCUGCUUCUGUGGGGUGCUCGAGUGGCGAACGGGUGAGUAACACGUGAGUAACCUGCCCUUGACUUUGGGAUAACUUCAGGAAACUGGGGCUAAUACCGGAUAGGAGCUCCUGCUGCAUGGUGGGGGUUGGAAAGUUUCGGCGGUUGGGGAUCGACUCGCGGCUUAUCAGCUUGUUGGUGGGGUAGUGGCUUACCAAGGCUUCGACGGGUAGCCGGCCUGAGAGGGUGACCGGCGACAAUGGGACUGAGGUACGGCCCAGACUCCUACGGGAGGCAGCGGUGGGAAAUAUGGCACAAUGGGCGGAAGCCUGAGGCAGCAGCGCCGCGUUCGGGAUGACGGCCUUCGGGUUGUAAACCGCUUUCGCCUGUGACGAAGCGUGAGUGACGGUAAUGGGUAAAGAAGCACCGGCUAACUACGUG